UACGAAGGGUGCAAGCGUUACUCGGAAUUACUGGGCGUAAAGCGUGCGUAGGUGGUGAGUUAAGUCUGUCGUGAAAGCCCCGGGCUCAACCUGGGAAUGGCGAUGGAUACUGGCUCGCUAGAGUGCGGUAGAGGAGAGUGGAAUUCCCGGUGUAGCAGUGAAAUGCGUAGAUAUCGGGAGGAACAUCAGUGGCGAAGGCGGCUACCUGGCCCAAUACUGACACUCAGGUGCGACAGCGUGGGGAGCAAACAGG
rnacentral:rRNA from 1 species